rnacentral:rRNA from 1 species
GACGUAGGGCGCGAGCGUUGUCCGGAUUUAUUGGGCGUAAAGAGCUCGUAGGCGGCUUGUCGCGUCGUCCGUGAAAACCUGCGGCUCAACUGCAGGCUGGCGGUCGAUACGGGCAGGCUGGAGUUCGGUAGGGGAGACUGGAAUUCCUGGUGUGAGCGGUGAAAUGCGCAGAUAUCAGGAGGAACACCGGUGGCGAAGGCGGCAUCCUGGACCGGUAUUGACGCUGAGGCGCGAAAGCCAGGGGAGGCAAACGGG